GACAGAGGCCUCAAGCGUUAGGCGGAAUCACUGGGCUUAGAGCGUGUGUAGGCGGAUGGUUAAGUGCCUUGUGAAAUCCCACGGCUCGACCGUGGAACUGCUGGGCAUACUGGCCAUCUUGAGCUAUCUAGGGGCGACUGGAACAGACGGUGGAGCGGUGAAAUGCGUAGAUAUCGUCUGGAACGCCAAAGGUGAAAACAGGUCGCUGGGGAUAUGCUGACGCUGAGACACGAAAGCCAGGGGAGCAAACGGG
rnacentral:rRNA from 1 species